ACGCCCUAACGAAUGAUGCUAGAUGUUGGAUUUCGGUUCGGUGUCGCAGCUAACGCAGUAAGCAUCCCACCUGGGGAGUACGCGAGCAAACGGGAAACUCAAAGGAAUUGACGGGGGCCCGCACAAGUGGUGGAGUAUGUGGUUUAAUUCGAUGCAACGCGAAGAACCUUACCUAGGCUUGACAUGCUGGGUAAAGCGGAUGAAAGUCCGUGUCCGAAAGGGAUCCAGCACAGGUGCUGCAUGGCUGUAGUCAGCUCGUGUCGUGAGAUGUUGGGUUAAGUCCCGCUACGAGCGCAACCCCUAUUGUUAGUUGUUACCAAGUAAAGUUGAGCACUGUAGCAAGACUGCCUACGCAAGUAGGAGGAAGGAGGGCAUGACGUCAAGUCCUCAUGGCCCUUACGCAUAGGGCUACACACGUACUACAAUGGACGGUACAAUGGGCGAAGUCGCAAGACGAAGGUAAUCCCAAAAAACCGUUCUCAGUUCAGAUCGGAGUCUGCAACUCGA
rnacentral:rRNA from 1 species